rnacentral:rRNA from 1 species
UAGGGAAUAUUGGUCAAUGGACGCAAGUCUGAACCAGCCAUGCCGCGUGAAGGAUGAAGGCCCUCUGGGUCGUAAACUUCUUUUAUUAGGGAAGAAAACAUGGGAUGCGUCCCAAACUGACGGUACUUAAUGAAUAAGGAUCGGCUAACUUCGUGCCAGCAGCCGCGGUAAGACGAAGGAUCCAAGCGUUGUCCGGAUUUACUGGGUUUAAAGGGUGCGUAGGCGGAAAAUUAAGUCAGUGGUGGAAGC